rnacentral:lncRNA from 1 species
CACCCUAAAAUUGUGGAAAAAAUUUAUGCAGUUUUCCGAAUAAUUCAUGUUAAUUUAUUUGAUAGCAGACUCUCGAUCGAUGCUAUUUUUUUUUAUUUUUUUUUUUAGAGAAAGAUAGUAUGGUACCCGUUUCGUUUAUUUUUUUAGAAAUAAGCUUAACUGAAAAUAUGAAUCAACUAGGAUUUGAACUUAAUAUCUCGGGUACCAACCAUCAGAUCUUUUGCUAUUCGAAGUUGAAUUUUAAUCUCAUGAAUGGUAAUGAAUAUGGUCUUAUAAU